AGUGAACGCUGGCGGUAGGCCUAACACAUGCAAGUCGAACGGCAGCACAGUAAGAGCUUGCUCUUACGGGUGGCGAGUGGCGGACGGGUGAGGAAUACAUCGGAAUCUACUUUUUCGUGGGGGAUAACGUAGGGAAACUUACGCUAAUACCGCAUACGACCUACGGGUGAAAGCAGGGGAUCUUCGGACCUUGCGCGAUUGAAUGAGCCGAUGUCGGAUUAGCUAGUUGGCGGGGUAAAGGCACACCAAGGCGACGAUCCGUAGCUGGUCUGAGAGGAUGAUCAGCCACACUGGAACUGAGACACGGUCCAGACUCCUACGGGAGGCAGCAGUGGGGAAUAUUGGACAAUGGGCGCAAGCCUGAUCCAGCCAUACCGCGUGGGUGAAGAAGGCCUUCGGGUUGUAAAGCCCUUUUGUUGGGAAAGAAAAGCAGCAGGUUAAUACCCCGCUGUUCUGACGGUACCCAAAGAAUAAGCACCGGCUAACUUCAUG
rnacentral:rRNA from 1 species